UACGGAGGGUGCAAGCGUUAUCCGGAUUCACUGGGUUUAAAGGGAGCGUAGGUGGGCUGGUAAGUCAGUGGUGAAAUCUCCGGGCUUAACCCGGAAACUGCCGUUGAUACUACCAGUCUUGAAUAUUGUGGAGGUAAGCGGAAUAUGUCAUGUAGCGGUGAAAUGCUUAGAUAUGACAUAGAACACCGAUAGCGAAGUCAGCUUGCUACACAAUGAUUGACACUGAGGCUCGAAAGCGUGGGGAUCAAACAGG
rnacentral:rRNA from 1 species